UCAAUGUAGGGCAAAAGGUUAACUUUGAGGUCAAAUAUUCAAGGGAGAUAACCAACACUACCAACGGGAAAGUUUGCCCGAGAGGUCGUCCCUGGCAAGGGAAGCAACUUCCAAUGCAACCAGUCAUGAACCUUCUGUUAACAUCUUUACAAAGAGCUUCCCAGCAACUCCAAGCUAUCACCCAGUUUGCUAGCUGCAGAUUUAUAACAAAA